GACGGGGGGAUGCAAGUGUUAUCCGGAAUAAUUGGGCGUAAAGCGUCUGUAGGUGGUUUACCAAGUCUGUUGUUAAAAAUCAGGGCUUAACCCUGAUCCGGCAACAGAAACUAGUAGGCUGGAGUACGGUAGGGGCAGAGGGAAUUCUCGGUGUAAUGGUGAAAUACGUAGAUAUCGAGAAGAACACCAAUAGCGAAAGCACUCUGCUGGGCCGACACUGACACUGAGAGACGAAAGCUAGGGGAGCGAAUGGG
rnacentral:rRNA from 1 species